rnacentral:rRNA from 1 species
UACGGGGGGGGCAAGCGUUGUUCGGAAUUACUGGGCGUAAAGGGCGCGUAGGCGGCUCGUCAAGUCGGGCGUGAAAUCUCCAGGCUUAACCUGGAAAAGUCGUUCGAUACUGUUGAGCUAGAGUGUGGAAGAGGCUACUGGAAUUCCGUGUGUAGCGGUGAAAUGCGUAGAUAUCGUAAGGAAGACCAGUGGCGAAGGCGGGUCUCUGGACAGUUCCUGACGCUGAGGCACGAAGGCCAGGGGAGCAAACGGG